CAGGAGCUUCUCAGGGCAAUGCUGGCCCUUUGCACCUCACACCAUGCCGCGCGUCUGGACAAUUGCUCACAUAUGCCACUGACUGCGCCGACUGAAGCUCCUCACCACAACUGGGUUUCCUCAAGGGGAUGGAGUCUGUGCCAAACCUGCUGAGAUAGAAAAGCUUCUGCAGAAGUGUUGUGCAUGUGCUGGAGCCCCUUUCAGUGACACUGGGUACAUACAAGACUCCCUCUGGC
rnacentral:lncRNA from 1 species